AUUUAAAGUCUAAUCUGCCCACUGAUAAAAAAUUAAAGGGCUGCAGUAUAAUGACUGUACAAAGGUAGCAUAAUCAAUAGUUUUUUAAUUGAAAACUUGUAUGAAAGAUUUGAUGAAAUAUGGACUGUCUCUAAUUUAUAAAUUGAAUUUUAUUUUUUAGUAAAAAAGCUAAAAUAAAUUUAAAAGACGAGAAGACCCUAUAGAGUUUUAUAUUUAAUUUUAUUUUAAAAUUAUAUAAAAAUUAAUAUUAAAAAUAAAAUUAAAUAUUAUAUUGGGGUGAUAGAAAAAUUAAAUUAACUUUUUUUAAAAAUUAAACAUAAAUAAAUGAUUAUAUGAUCCAUAGAUAAUGAUUAUAAGAAAAAAUUACCUUAGGGAUAACAGCGUAAUAUUUUUUUUUAGUUCAAAUAAAAAAAAAAGUUUGCGACCUCGAUGUUGGAUUAAGAUAAAAUUUAAAUGCAAAAGUUUAAAAUUUUGAUCUGUUCGAUCAUUAAAA
rnacentral:rRNA from 1 species